rnacentral:lncRNA from 13 species
AUGAGAAAGGAAAUGAGGAGAGCGAGAGGGAGUGAUAGAGGGAAAGAGAACAGCCCUCAUCUCAUCAGAGACAACUUGAUGUUGACUAACUGGAGAAAUAAUGAUGCCAGGGAUAGUGAAAUAGACCACAAGAGAGGCAGAGCAGAGAGGGAGAUAGAUGAUGCCAGGGAUAGUGAAAUAGACCACAAGAGAGGCAGAGCAGAGAGGGAGAUAGAGAGAUAGAUGCGGAACAAAGGACGGACGUGAAAGGGGAAGAGGGAAAAGGAUGUUUUGAUGAGGUGUUGUUUACUAAAAGAACGCUCAAGGCCCUCUGUGACUUCGAAGUCUCCAGCACCUACAGAUCAACUCUCAAGGGUUUAUGAAAAACAACGACUGAGGGAAAUGAAAGGAACACUUUCAUAUGUCUGUCUGCCACUGAAUGGGCUCCUAUAAAACACAAAGGUAUUGUUAUUUAUAGACAAGCUUCCAAAGGCGUGACACUCAAAGAGAUAAUGAGACUCAAUGUGACUAUUUUAAAAAGUAUCCUGUAGCUAACGGUGGUGUGACGCAGAAAAUCAAAAUGACUUCCUGAAACAGAUGGAUCUACCAUGUACUGUGCCAUGUCAUUCAGCAUUCCAUACAUGUAAUUAUGACGGUGAUGCUGUUCUGUAAGAAUCAUGGACAUGGACAUUUUCAUUGUAUUUUUUAUUAACUCAAUAAAAUGUUUUACCUUUGUGUACCUUUGGGGAUGUAUAUUACUGACCUACAUAAAUCAUGUCACCACAACCAGCACAAAAUAAUAACCAUAACAUUGUGUUCACAGUGCAUGAUUAUCCAUCACAAUAUUGGGAGGAAAGUGCAACUAUUACAAUGUGGUAAAGACAGGGGCUAGCAGGUCACGUUUUCCAUAGAGUGUGCGUCUCAUUAGUGUGCGUCACUGCUGUCGGUGCUUUAAGUUGCUGAAUUAGCCUGAAUUAUCUUUGGAAACCUAUGAAAAAACAACUGUGCAUUCAUGUUCUCAACACUCAUUAAUAUUUCAGGACCUCUGAGCUCUGCAGGUCAUUCAGUGUCUCAUGUUCAUGUGCUCCAGCAACUCCUGAUUUACAAAUGAAUCACUGUUACUGGAGGAUACACAGUCAACUCAUAGCAAUUAGUUAAUAAGCCUUGUAGCCUAUACACACACAUACACAGGUUAACAUCUUCCACACAGCUUUAAGGCUUCAUGACAGCUAAACUGUUAUGAGGUUUGACUCCUCGAUUGAUCUUUCCCUCUUUUGAGAUACCCUAGCAAACCUCCUAAUCUAUAUUACUAGAACACUGCUUGAGAGUGCAGUGGAGUUCCUCCCGUGCAGUGGACAUCUCAUCCAUUGCCUCCUCGGUUCCAUCACUCUUCCUCUAUCUCUCUACACAACUGUCUUAUCUUUGAUCCCAACCUGUUCUUUUGACAUUCCUGACUCCUUGACCGUUUGCUUGCCAGUUUUCAGUCGAUAGAGUCUGAUUGGUGUCUCUAACUCCUCUACACUCCAUAGCUUUGAGCCCUUACUUCUGUGUGUGAACGGAACAGUCCACACAGUUCUUCAGACAGAAUGUCAGAGGCCUUUGGUGACGUGUUGUUCUGCUGCUUGGCGGUAUUUCACUUACCCGAGGCUGGGUUGAAUUCUCUCUUUUUCUCUCUCUCUCUCUUUUUCUCUCUUUCUCUCUCUCUCUUUCUCUCUCUCUUUCUCUCUUUCUUCUCUCAGAGGACCUGAGGCCUAGGACCAUGCAUCAAGACUACCUGGCCUGAGUCCACCUGUCCACAGUCCUCCUGGUCAAGCUGCUGCUCAAGUUUUAACUGUUCUGCCUGUGGCUAUGGAACCCUGACCUGUUCACUGGAUGUGCUACCUUGUCCAGGACCUGCUGUUGAAGAGGACUGGCCACCCCUCAAAGUUCCUCUCUAGGUUUCUUCCUAGGUACUGUCCUUUUUAGGGAGUUUUUCCUAGACACUGUGCUUGUACAUCUGCAUUGCUUGCUGUUUGGGGUUUUAGGCUGGGUUUCUGUCUAAGCACUUUGUGACAUCGGCUGAUGUAAAAAGGACUUUAUAAACACAUUUGAUUGAUUGAUUGAUUGAUUGAUUGGUUGAUUGAUUGAUUGAUUGGUGGCACCUUCAUUGGGGAAGACAAACUCAUAAUAAUGACUGAAACAGAAUACAUGGAAUAGUAUCAAACACAUGUUAUCAAACUGUCAAGAGAAUUUUCAAUCCCAAUGAUAAUAACUUUCAAUCAAGCAAUAGAUUCGAGGUUUGUAAGACCGUGGGUAUAAUAAUAAUUAGGCAAAGACUCAGCUUUGUGCAAAAGGUCUGUACAGUUUAUUCAGAGAACGUUCUAAAUUUUAUUGUACAAAGACAUCCAUUUUAUAGCUGCGCACAUACUUCCACACAAACAGUAGGUAUCCUACGCACAUACUUCCACACAAACAGUAGGUAACCUACG